rnacentral:rRNA from 1 species
CCUGGUGGUUAUCGCGGGGCGGCUGCACCCGUUCCCAUUCCGAACACGGCCGUGAAACGCCCCAGCGCCAAUGGUACUUCGUCUCAAGACGCGGGAG